rnacentral:lncRNA from 1 species
AGGAUAAUAGCCAACUAAGUGUGAAUGAUAGUUUGUCUUUAAGUGAGCCGAAUGUGCCUUCAUUUUGUGAUGAUAAUGUACAACUUGAGAUUGUGGAUACACUAGUUGAUUCACCUAGUGUUGAAGCCAUUGUGGAAAGUGGUAGUACAUUGUCUUAUGGAAGUCAUGAAGACCAACUUGUGUGUGAAAAUAAUGAUGUUGAACAUGUUGGCCGAAUAACUAAGGAUGACCCUCUAGUUGUUUUUGUUAUUGACCAUGAUA